AACGUAGGAGGCGAGCGUUAUCCGGAGUUACUGGGCGUAAAGCGCGUGUAGGUGGCUUGUUACGUCUGCUGUGAAAUGUCCCGGCUUAACCGGGACUAGGCGGUAGAUACGGGCAGGCUAGAGGGUGACAGAGGAGCGUAGAAUUCCGGGUGUAGUGGUGAAAUGCGUAGAGAUCGGGAAGAACAUCAGUGGCGAAGGCGGCCUGCUGGGCUGUUGCUGACGCUGAGGCGCGACAGCGUGGGGAGCAAACAGG
rnacentral:rRNA from 1 species